rnacentral:rRNA from 1 species
CCUACGGGGAGCAGCAGUGGGGAAUAUUGGGCAAUGGGCGCAAGCCUGACCCAGCAACGCCGCGUGAAGGAAGAAGGCUUUCGGGUUGUAAACUUCUUUUCUCAGGGACGAAGAAAGUGACGGUACCUGAGGAAUAAGCCACGGCUAACUACGUGCCAGCCGCCGCGGUAAUACGUAGGUGGCAAGCGUUAUCCGGAUUUACUGGGUGUAAAUGGCGUGUAGGCGGGACUGCAAGUCAGAUGUGAAAACCACGGGCUCAACCUGUGGACUGCAUUUGAUACUGUCAUUCUUGAGUACUGGAGAGGCAGACGGAAUUCCUGGUGUAGCGGUGAAAUGCGUAGAUAGUAGGAGGAACACCAGUGGCGAAGGCGGUCUGCUGGACAGCAACUGACGCUGAGGCGCGAAAGCGUGGGGAGCAAACAGGAUUAGAUACCCGGGUAGUC